rfam:Helianthus annuus linkage group 8, whole genome shotgun sequence.
AGGCCGUGAUGGGGACACUUACGUAAUAGCUCCUUGAACCUUUCCCAAGUUUCAUAUAAGGAUUCCCCGUCCUCCUGUGAGUAUGUAUUAAUUUCAGCCAUUAAUUU